AGUGAACGCUGGCGGUAGGCCUAACACAUGCAAGUCGAACGGCAGCACAGUAAGAGCUUGCUCUUACGGGUGGCGAGUGGCGGACGGGUGAGGAAUACAUCGGAAUCUACUUUUUCGUGGGGGAUAACGUAGGGAAACUUACGCUAAUACCGCAUACGACCUACGGGUGAAAGCAGGGGAUCUUCGGACCUUGCGCGAUUGAAUGAGCCGAUGUCGGAUUAGCUAGUUGGCGGGGUAAAGGCCCACCAAGGCGACGAUCCGUAGCUGGUCUGAGAGGAUGAUCAGCCACACUGGAACUGAGACACGGUCCAGACUCCUACGGGAGGCAGCAGUGGGGAAUAUUGGAAAAUGGGCGCAAGCCUGAUCCAGCCAUACCGCGUGGGUGAAGAAGGCCUUCGGGUUGUAAAGCCCUUUUGUUGGGAAAGAAAAGCAGCAGGUUAAUACCCAGCUGUUCUGACGGUACCCAAAGAAUAAGCACCGGCUAACUUCGUG
rnacentral:rRNA from 1 species